AGUUUUCUACAGAAAUCCAGAAUUCUAUGAUUGUGUGCACGUUUUUUAAAAUUAGGAUCAGAGAUGACUGUGUGGAGGGCAAUUGCCCAAUAAGGCUUGGUCCUUGUCAGAGUGAACUAUUUCCUCCUGUUGGGUCAGUAGAUCAGCAACAUCAUUGUGUAUCAGGAUUUUAGCAGGAAACUUGUCUUCUGGCAGUGGGCCUGCUAGAGGAGUUUGACAACGGCAGGCGGUUGGAAGGUCUGUAGAGGGCUUGCUUAGCACUGUCAACCUGCAAAAGAGGUUUGCUUUGAGAUUUUUUCCAUCUUCUAAAUGGACAAGAGAUUGAUGUUGAGAUUAAACAUAUAGGAUGAAUUGUCAAAGGAGGGAGAAUGGCUACUAUGUACAGAGUCAGACC
rnacentral:lncRNA from 1 species